GCCCAGACUCCUACGGGAGGCAGCAGUGGGGAAUAUUGCACAAUGGGGGAAACCCUGAUGCAGCGACGCCGCGUGAGCGAUGAAGUAUUUCGGUAUGUAAAGCUCUAUCAGCAGGGAAGAAGAUGACGGUACCUGACUAAGAAGCCCCGGCUAACUACGUGCCAGCAGCCGCGGUAAUACGUGGGGGGCAAGCGUUAUCCGGAUUUACUGGGUGUAAAGGGAGCGUAGACGGCGGCGCAAGCCAGAUGUGAAAGCCCGGGGCUCAACUCCGGGACUGCAUUUGGAACUGUGUGGCUGGAGUGUCGGAGAGGCAGGCGGAAUUCCUAGUGUAGCGGUGAAAUGCGUAGAUAUUAGGAGGAACACCAGUGGCGAAGGCGGCCUGCUGGACGAUGACUGACGUUGAGGCUCGAAAGCGUGGGGAGCAAACAGGAUUAGAUACCCCCGUAAC
rnacentral:rRNA from 1 species